UCAAAUUUAUUUUGCAGUAGG
rnacentral:piRNA from 1 species